rnacentral:rRNA from 1 species
GACGUAGGGCGCGAGCGUUGUCCGGAUUUAUUGGGCGUAAAGAGCUCGUAGGCGGUGUGUCACGUCGGCCGUGAAAACCUGCAGCUUAACUGUGGGCGUGCGGUCGAUACGGGCAUCACUGGAGUUCGGUAGGGGAGACUGGAAUUCCUGGUGUAGCGGUGAAAUGCGCAGAUAUCAGGAGGAACACCGAUGGCGGAAGGCAGGUCU